GAUGAACGCUAGCGAUAGGCUUAACACAUGCAAGUCGAGGGGUAGCACAAGGUAGCUUGCUAUCUGGGUGGCGACCGGCGCACGGGUGCGUAACGCGUAUGCAACUUGCCCUAUACAGGAGGAUAACCCGUCGAAAGACGGACUAAUACUGCGUAUGCUCACAACUUGGCAUCAAGUGGUGAGGAAAGAAAUUCGGUAUAGGAUAGGCAUGCGUCCCAUUAGCUUGUUGGUGAGGUAACGGCUCACCAAGGCAACGAUGGGUAGGGGAACUGAGAGGUUUAUCCCCCACACUGGUACUGAGACACGGACCAGACUCCUACGGGAGGCAGCAGUGAGGAAUAUUGGUCAAUGGGCGCGAGCCUGAACCAGCCAAGUCGCGUGAAGGAUGACUGUCUUAUGGAUUGUAAACUUCUUUUAUACGGGAAUAACAAGAGUCACGUGUGACUCCCUGCAUGUACCGUAUGAAUAAGCAUCGGCUAACUCCGUG
rnacentral:rRNA from 1 species